rnacentral:tRNA from 2 species
AAGAAAUUAGGUUUAAUAUUCAA